rnacentral:rRNA from 1 species
GAUCCUGGCUCAGGACGAACGCUGGCGGCGCGCCUAACACAUGCAAGUCGAACGAGCGAGAGAGAGCUUGCUUUCUCGAGCGAGUGGCGAACGGGUGAGUAACGCGUGAGUAACCUGCCUCAAAGAGGGGGACAACAGUUGGAAACGACUGCUAAUACCGCAUAAGCCCACGACCCGGCAUCGGGAAGAGGGAAAAGGAGCAAUCCGCUUUGAGAUGGCCUUGCGUCCGAUUAGCUAGUUGG